GCUGCCUAUCUAAUGUUAUUUUGAUCCUUUACUACGCGUUUUCUAUUGCAAUAAGACUUACAAACUAUAUGUGUCUUUCAGUAAACUGACAACUAUAUUGGAAUAGUCCCUGUUGCCUGACUUACAUGAACUGUUAACAAUGAAAAUGUAUUGAAAUUAUGCUGGAGAACCCCGCUUGCUGGAUUUGAUGAAUCUUUACACAACCUUAAAUAGAAACAGAGACAAGUCUGAUGGCUGCCUAUAUAUACCCAUACCAUACCUAGUGUUUGAUGAUGUUUAAGCCGAGCGGAGCAAAUUUCCGUUUGCUGUUUUCAUGGACUUUUCUGAGUCUCGAUAAUCUCCAACAAACAGAAUGGUUUCCUGAUACCUGGCCGUUAGGUCACCUAGCAGUCAGUUAAACUUAAGCCAAGCGAAGGAAAUCGCCAUGGUUAUUUUCAUGAUUCCUGUUUCUCCAUGUCUUACCACAAUUUUCAAUGUUCCGGAGAACUGACAGUGCCCCGCAGAGUCAAUACAUCUACCCUCAAUGUACACUUACUGAAUGCUUCUAUUUAUGAAAGAUUACGAAGGACAACACCUCUCCAGACUCCUGUUCAAUAAUUUUAUUUCACAACUUUUGCUGUAACAAUGGCUGCUGUCUACUGCCACUUCAAAGUUCCUGUCCCACGGCUCUAUUUCUAGAAACCUGCACCCACAACAGCAUUGGUCUACAUUGAAUACUACUUAUAGGGAAAGUGACACUCAAGAUCUUCUUUUAUGUUAGGUAUCAAGGCGCAAGAAGAUGAAAUUAUAAUUGAUUAUUUUGUGAUGACACGUCUUAAAUAUGAAAUGAAUCCCCUAACAACGGCGAUAAGAAAACAAGUAAAGAAGACUGAUAUACUUAUUAUGUAGAAAAUAACUAUAAGGAUUUAUUUAUUAAGUAGACAAUAACUAAGGAUUUUUUUUGUACAUAAUAACAGUUUGAAAAAUAAACGUUAGAUUUUA